rnacentral:rRNA from 1 species
GUGGGGAAUAUUGGACAAUGGGCGAAAGCCUGAUCCAGCCAUGCCGCGUGUGUGAAGAAGGUCUUCGGAUUGUAAAGCACUUUAAGUUGGGAGGAAGGGCAGUAAGUUAAUACCUUGCUGUUUUGACGUUACCGACAGAAUAAGCACCGGCUAACUUCGUGCCAGCAGCCGCGGUAAUACGAAGGGUGCAAGCGUUAAUCGGAAUUACUGGGCGUAAAGCGCGCGUAGGUGGUUUUGUAAGUUGGAGGUGAAAUCCCCGGGCUCAACCUGGGAACUGCCUACAAAACUGCAUGACUAGAGUACGGUAGAGGGUAGUGGAAUUUCCUGUGUAGCGGUGAAAUGCGUAGAUAUAGGGAGGAACACCAGUGGCGAAGGCGACUACCUGGACUGAUACUGACACUGAGGUGCGAAAGCGUGGGGAGCAAACAGGAUUAGAAACCCCAGUAGUCC